rnacentral:rRNA from 1 species
GAUGAACGCUAGCGAUAGGCCUAACACAUGCAAGUCGAGGGGCAUCACAUGAAGUAGCAAUACGGAUGGUGGCGACCGGCGCACGGGUGAGUAACACGUAUGCAACCUGCCUUCAACAAGGGGAUAACCCGUUGAAAGACGGACUAAUACCCUAUAACACAGGGGUCCCGCAUGGGAAUAUUUGUUAAAGGCAACCGGUUGAAGAUGGGCAUGCGUUCCAUUAGCUAGUUGGCGGGGUAACGGCCCACCAAGGCAACGAUGGAUAGGGGAACUGAGAGGUUUAUCCCCCACACUGGUACUGAGACACGGGACCAGACUCCUACGGGAGGCAGCAGUGAGGAAUAUUGGUCAAUGGACGCAAGUCUGAACCAGCCACGUCGCGUGAAGGAAGACGGCCCUACGGGUUGUAAACUUCUUUUAUACGGGAAUAAAGUGCCCCACGCGUGGGGUUUUGCAUGUACCGUAUGAAUAAGGAUCGGCUAACUCCGUG